rnacentral:lncRNA from 1 species
CUCUAAUCACAUACUUAGUAAAAAGAGAGAAUAUCGCAUAAACUUUCCAUCGACCUCUGACGAAUACCAAAUGAUGAUAAACAUUUCAAAUACUAAAUUACUAUAAAAUUGAAAAAAUAAUCGAUAUGAAAAAUAGAAUAACAAAAAAUAACAACAGUAAAAAGCCAACAAAACAAACAAUGCAAAACAAAAAAACAACGAAAAAUUAUAAUAUAACUAAAAAUAAAAUAAAAAUUUUAUAAACCUUCCGCGCGUAGCGCGGGUCAACAACUAGUUUAUAUAUAAAAAGUUAGCUUUGCUCUUUUUUCCUUCAGCC